AUUGAACGCUGGCGGCAGGCCUAACACAUGCAAGUCGAACGGUAACAGGGAGAAGCGUGCUUCUUUGCUUACGAGAGGGGUACGGAUUAGUAAGGACUGUGACACUGCGUGAGGGAGGACGUUGAGUACUGUAAACUGUAGCCAAUACCGCAUUACGUCGCAAGACGAGAGAGCGGAAGCUCUCGGGCUCUUGCCAUCGCAGGUGCCGAGAUAGGAUUAGCUAGUAGGGGGGGUAAAGGCCUACCAAGGCGACGAUCCGUAGCUGGUCUGAGAGGAUGACCAGCCACACUGGAACUGAGACACGGUCCAGACUCCUACGGGAGGCAGCAGUGGGGAAUAUUGGACAAUGGGCGCAAGCCUGAUCCAGCAAUGCCGCGUGUAUGAAGAAGGCCUUCGGGUUGUAAAGCACUUUUGGCGGGGAGGAAGGGAGUAAAGCUAAUAUCUUUGCUUAUUGACGUUACCCGAAGAAGAAGCACCGGCUAACUACGUG
rnacentral:rRNA from 1 species